rnacentral:misc_RNA from 1 species
UGCAACUCAGGGACUUGCCAGUCCGGUUGUUACAGAGAUGAUUCUUCCGUCGGAGCAGAAGAGUCGCCGCCGCUAACUAAGAAAACAGAAGUUUCAAACGGAGUUGUCAACAGUAGAAGGAGCACCGAACAUUUGGAUGAUGGAAUAUGUCUCAAAUGUAAGGUUAACAGAACCAUCGCCGCUGCUGACGGCGGUGGUGAUUUUGGUGGAGGAGAUGCAGGAAGGUUCUGUGCUGAUUGCUUCCGCAGUAAUCUAUUUGGGAAGUUCAGACUUGCUGUCACUGCUAAUGCUAUGAUUUCGCCGUCGGAUAACGUCCUUGUUGCCUUCUCUGGCGGUACUUGUUCCAGGGUAGCUCUGCAAUUUACACAUGAGAUGCAAAGCAAAGCUCAGAAGAACUAUGAUGCCAGUAGAGAUAGAGCAUUACCAGUUUUUGGUGUUGGGGUUGCUUUUAUUGAUGAAAAAGCCAUUUCUGCUGUCUCAUCUGAUAACCUUGACAGAGCUGUUGAGGAGAUGGAACUUAUUGUGUCAGAUUUGGCUCCACCUGUGAAACAAUUCCAUGUAGUUCCAACAGAGGCUAUUUAUUCACUGGAUGCUGGUGAUUCAAAAGAUAGACUGAAUGAAUUAAUAAACACUGUUA